rnacentral:rRNA from 1 species
UAGCUAGUUGGUGGGGUAAAGGCCUACCAAGGCGACGAUCGGUAGCUGGUCUGAGAGGAUGAACAGCCACACUGGGACUGAGACACGGCCCAGACUCCUACGGGAGGCAGCAGUGGGGAAUAUUGGACAAUGGGGGCAACCCUGAUCCAGCAAUGCCGCGUGUGUGAAGAAGGCCUGAGGGUUGUAAAGCACUUUCAGUGGGGAGGAGGAUUACUAGGUUAAGAGCCAGGUGAUUGGACGUUACCCACAGAAGAAGCACCGGCUAACUCCGUGCCAGCAGCCGCGGUAAUACGGAGGGUGCGAGCGUUAAUCGGAAUGACUGGGCGUAAAGGGUGCGUAGGUGGUCUGUUAAGUUAUGGGUGAAAUCACUGGGCUCAACCUGGUGUGGAAUCAUAAUACUGAUGGACUCGAGUAUAGGAGAGGGUAGUGGAAUUUCCGGUGUAGCGGUGAAAUGCGUAGAGAUCGGAAGGAACACCAGUUGCGAAGGCGGCUACCUGGCCUGGUACUGACACUGAGGCACGAAAGCGUGGGGAGCAAACAGGAUUAGAUACCCUGUUAGUCCACGCUGUAAACGAUGUCAACUAGCUGUUUCUUGUAUAAAGACAGGGAGUGGCGC